GUUUGUGUUCUGAGUGUGGGCUCGGCCUACCUCCACCCCAUGUCGAAACGACUCUGUUGCCUCGGGGGCGACCCGGCCUUCGGGCGUCGGGGCCCCCGGUGGACACCUUCAUAACUCUUGCAUCUCUUGCGUCUGAGUGAUACAUAUAAUCAAUCAAAACUUUCAACAACGGAUCUCUUGGUUCUGGCAUCGAUGAAGAACGCAGCGAAAUGCGAUAAGUAAUGUGAAUUGCAGAAUUCAGUGAAUCAUCGAAUCUUUGAACGCACAUUGCGCCCCCUGGCAUUCCGGGGGGCAUGCCUGUUCGAGCGUCAUUACACCACUCAAGCCUGGCUUGGUAUUGAGCGCCGCGGCCUGCCCGCGCGCUCCAAUGUCUCCGGCUGAGCCGUCCGUCUCUAAGCGUUGUGAAUAGCGAUCGCUUGCGAGGCCCGGGCGGUUCGACGCCGUUAAACCCCCCAUUUUCUAUGGUUGACCUCGGAUCAGGUAGGGAUACCCGCUGAACUUAAGCAUAUCAAUAAGCCGGAGGAA
rnacentral:rRNA from 1 species